rnacentral:rRNA from 1 species
GACGAACGCUGGCGGCGUGCUUAACACAUGCAAGUCGAACGGCAAGGCCCUGCUUUUGUGGGGUGCUCGAGUGGCGAACGGGUGAGUAACACGUGAGUAACCUGCUCUUGACUUUGGGAUAACUUCAGGAAACUGGGGUUACUACCGGAUCGGAGCUCCUGCUGCAUGGUGGGGGUUGGAACGUUUCGGCGGUUGGGGAUGGACUCGCGGCUUAUCAGCUUGUUGGUGGGGUAGUGGCUUACCCAGGCUUUGACGGGUAGCCGGCCUGAGAGGGGGACCGGCCACAUGAGGACUGAGAUACGGCCCAGACGCCUACGGGAGGCAGCAGGGGGGAAUAUUGCACAGUGGGCGGAAGCCUGAGGCAGCAACGCCGCGGGCGGGAUGACGGCCUUCGGGUUGUAAACCGCAUUCGCCUGUGACGAAGCGUGAGUGACGGUAAUGGGUAAAGAAGCACCGGCUAACUACGUG